rnacentral:rRNA from 1 species
AUAUAAUUAAGCGGAGGAAAAGAAACUGACCAGGAUUCCCCUAGUAACGGCGAGUGAAGAGGGAUGAGCUCAGACGUUAAUCUUCGGAAAUGUCGUUUGUAAGGGCAUGAUGAACCAACAAGAUGGAUCAAAUCCUCUGGAACGGGGUGCCACUGAGGGUGAGAGCCCCGUACAUGUCCAUCAUAUGUGGUGUUUUCAGCCCCUUAAGAGUCGAGCUGUUUGGGAUUGCAGCUCUAAUCGGGUGGUAAAUUCCAUCUAAAGCUAAAUAUUGGUGGGAGACCGUUAGCGCACAAGUA